GCGCGUUUUUUCGUGAUGCGCUAGGCAUGCGAGUCGAGAGGUGUAAGACCUCGGCAGACGGCUGAGUAACACGCGGGUAACCUGCCCUGGAGUGGGGGAUAACCUCGGGAAACUGAGAAUAAUACCCCAUAGGUGUGGUAUGCUGGAAUGCUUCCACGCUAAAAGCCCCGGCGCUCCAGGAUGGGCCUGCGGCCUAUCAGGCUGUAGUGGGUGUAACGGACCCACUAACCUACGACGGGUAGGGGCGUUGAGAGACGGAGCCCCCAGAUGGAUUCUGAGACACGAAUCCAGGCCCUACGGGGCGCAGCAGCUACGAAAACUGCCCAAUGUGGGAAACCACGAGGCGGGCAUUCCGAGUGCCAACGCAUUGCGUUGGCUGUUCUUUCGCCUAAAAAGCGAGAGAAGUAAGGGCCGGGUAAGACGGGUGCCAGCCGCCGCGGUAAUACCCGCGGCCCGAGUGGUGCUCUUUGUUAUUGAGCUUAAAGCGUCCGUAGCCGGCCUUGUAAAUCCUUGGGUAAAUCGGGCAGCUCAACUGUUCGAAUUCCGAGGAGACUGCAAGGCUCGGGACCGGGAGAGGCUAGAGGUACUCUCGGGGUAGGGGUAAAAUCCUGUAAUCCUGAGAGGACCACCAGUGGCGAAGGCGUCUAGCUAGAACGGAUCCGACGGUGAGGGACGAAGCCCUGGGGCGCAAACGGGAUUAGAUACCCCGGUAGUCCAGGGUGUAAACGCUGCGGGCUUGGUGUCGGAGGUCCUACGAGGGCGUCCGGUGCCGGAGAGAAAUUGUAAGCCUGCCGCUUGGGGAGUACGGUCGCAAGACUGAAACUUAAAG
rnacentral:rRNA from 1 species